UACGGAGGGUGCGAGCGUUUGUUCGGAAUCACUGGGCGUAAAGCGCGUGUAGGCGGCCCACUAAGUCUGAUGUGAAAGCCCGGGGCUCACCCCCGGAAGUGCAUUGGAAACUGGUGGACUCGAGUCCCGGAGAGGAGAGUGGAAUUCCUGGUCGUGAGCGGUGAAAUGCGUAGAUAUCAGGAGGAACACCUGGUGGCGAAGGGCGGCUCGUCGUG
rnacentral:rRNA from 1 species